rnacentral:hammerhead_ribozyme from 1 species
AUCCAGCUGACAAAUCCCAAACAGGGCGAAACACGCGUCAAACUGGAU